rnacentral:lncRNA from 1 species
GGGCAAAAAUUCAAUUCUGAACAACCACAUGAAGGCUCACAACUAUCUGUACAGCAUACAUAAAAUAAAAUUUUAUAUACAUAAAAAUAAAUAAAUAAAUAAAAAGAAAGAUAAAUGGUAAAGUGCACACUGCGUAACAAAGACAAGUUAAAACUUUGAAUCUGAUUUAAUAUAACAUGUGACAGCCAGGAGCUUCUACAAAAUUCAAAUUCCUGAGUGUUUACUGUAGUGUGCCAUCAGUCUCUGUUUUUCAGCUGAGCUGCUGUAGAAGAAUGAUAGGGUGUUUGAAGUAGCCCAAACUUCAUGCAGCAAAUCAGACUCUGUUUGAAUCCCAAGUAUGAAGUUUGACUAGAUAAUGUUUUUAAUUAAAAUUUCAGAAUUCAAAUUACCAUGUCAUAAAUUGUUUUACUUUUAUGUACUGACUUUUGUAGGAUUUAAUUUUUUUUCACAGAUUAUAAGGGAAGGCACAUAUUGGAUUUUGUGUAAAGCUAAAAGUAGUUUAGAGACAGUUUGAUAUAUUUGCUUUCAAACACCACACUUCAGUUACAAUAGUCCUUCCAACUUGCCAAGUAUUCAUGUGUAAUUCAUGGGGAUCACAUGAGAAUAAAGAUUGACAACAUAUGUGAGAGACUUUGAGGCUGGCAGUUAAUUUGCAUGUUGUAUUAUGUUACCAAAUCUUUUUUGUGGAGCUGUUGCUAUGCUGAGGAGUAUAUAGAUAUUUCAAUCGUAAGUGUUAUAUUGAGUAAUUAAAGUCUACUGUUGAAGUCAGAAUGUUGGCUUUUUUUGCCUCCUGUGCUACAUAAACAAAGAAUUGUUCUGUAGGCAUGUUCUAGGUUGUUUGUGCUUUGGUUAAUCCAUGAAAUCUAUGGUAGUCAUUGCUGUCAAAAGUUAAUGCUCUGAGAUUGCUUUAUUCUUUAAUGAAAAGAUCAGUGAGAUUAGAAUUGUUUUGCCCCUGCCAUGGAAAUAGACAAGUAUGAAUGCCCAGUUUCUCUUGGUGGAUUUCCAAUCUGUCUCUGACCCAGAAAUAUAGGUGGUAUUUGGCAGUUUGUCUAGCGGCCUGUGAAACUUUUGUUUCUUAUUUGUAAAAGGAGAGUAACUGGCUUGGGUCUGUUCUGCAAUAGAUAUUGUUUUUGUUUUUGUUUUCACCCAAACAUAUGAAACACAAAGUGGCAUCCUUUGACUUCCAGUGGCAUUUCAGGGUUUUCUAAAAUUGGCUAAUUACCAAAGUCACCUGGGGGAGCCACUUAAAAACACAAAUUCCCAGGCACUUUCCCUGGAGAUCAUGAUUUAGUGGGUUUGGGACAGAGCCCGAGAAACUCAAGUGACUCUAAUGAUCAGGGAAGUUGUCCAAGUGGGAAAACUCCACUGGACUUGUACAAAACAGAUCUUACUACAUUUGCCAGCCACAGUAGAGGACAUAUAAUUUGCUGUUAUUUAUCUUGAAAUGUUUUUUAUGUAAAUGUGGUAAUCAAGGUCAAGGUUAUUAUAUUACUUCAAAAUUAGUUCCUAUCUGAAAAGUACAUAUUCCCAUUAUAAAUUGAUGAGAGGGAAAUACUGGAAAAGAAAACUGUCUCGACUUGUUCAGAAGCUCAAGUGGCCUGGUCAUUAUUAACAAUGGAAGAAGACCAUCCUUCCUCUCCCUGAUGUGUGGACAAGUCACUUUGUGACCACAUUUACCACCCCCUGAAUUCAGUGAAUUUUGUUUCCUUAACACAUAAAAUGAGGUAAUUUAAAAGAACUAUCCACAUGCUGAUACCAGGUUAUUUUCUCUCUGUGGACAGCAUUAGGCUCUGUGAAAAGGUCUAGAUGGCAGAACGAUCCACUGCAUUUUAUGUAGUGACCAUUAGAGAACAUGCAAUAAUCUGAUCAUUAAGUUGUUCUUUGCAUUACAGAACAUGACAUUAAAUGGUUUUAAAAAUAUUUUAUGUUUUUUUGUACGCAGGACAUAGAAAUAUAUUUUAUUGUUCUUAUAAAUUAUUUCCUUUUAUUGUUAUCUAGCUAUUAUGUACUUAGUGAUUUUGUUUGGGUGUCAUCUGGGUUAGAGCUAUGACUAAAAGGCAGCACUUACAGCACACGGAAGCCGGAAUUACACAGAUGAUAUUUGUUAGUGGUUUUGUAAGAUUAAACAGGCCUAAAAUUCUACUAUAUCAAUUUCAGAUGCUAGAAAAAUGCCCUGUGAAAAAACUGAUGAGCAAUCACGCACUAAUAAAAGCCCAGGUUUGCAAUGAAGCAUCUAACAUGUCAUUGAAACUCCAGCAUAGUAAAUGUUGAAAUUUCUGGAAAAAAAAAAGUGUAGCCAUUUGCACAAUUACUAUGUAACAAAGAGAACAAAGUUCCAAUAAUUGCAAGAAACUGUGAUGGUUGUGAUGGCUGGCACCUAGAGAGCAAUAGCUUUUAACAAACAAAAUGCUUCAAAAAUGCAUGGAUCAAGAGUCACAUCCAUGAGUCCCUCUCUUAACACACAUAGGUAUUAUGUUUCACCUAGUACGACAGCUUAAAUGAAAAUGUUUUUAGUCUGAUUAGAUUUACAUCUCUAG